GUUUGUGACAUCAGAGGUACAUUUCAGCAAUUGACUGGCUAAAGAAUGCAUGCAGCUAGUUAAUAGUUUUCACAGGCUUAAUAGACAGCUGAUUGAAAGGAAACUCACAGGCACUGUGGCCCCCUGGAAAUUUAGUUUGACAGCCCUAGAUAAGCUCAUUGAUGAGCUUAGAGACCUCAUUGCUGUCCACUCCAGGCCUUCUCAUCCUGUCGGAAAUUCACACAGUUGCACAGAAAUGUGCAGUUGUCGGGCAAAGAAAAACGUGUCUAUUGGCUGUUGACAGGAUUAUAAAUUGCAUCACUGACCAUCGCAAGCCUUUUGAGCCAAGAAUGAAGACUUACGAUAAAUAUUAAAACAUGUCUGAUAUCGUCAGGACGGUCAAGACAAGAAAAAGGACUCAUGAACUCAGUCUUGAAACGGUCUCAUAAUCGUGAAUCGUGACGGGGACUGAGAUGCCUGUGGCUGUACCCGGUGGGUUUGGAAACACAAUGGAGCCACAGCCACAAUGCGGGACAGAUCCUGGUUCGAAACAAUACCAUCAAGAAUGAGAACUCUGCAUUGUUUCUUCUGAGCUACAGUAUGUCUAGUUGGGUUUCCAAAAAAGGCUAUUUGGAGACUCCAAAACGACUGUUCAGUAACAAAAAUGAUGAUAUGGGUCUUUAGGGGUUAAGUCCCUGCAGCUGAGAAGCAUCCCCCCACUCACUGCAACAAAGGAUGUGUUAAUAUCCAACACGUUUUCUGUGUUACUACCUUUCUGUCACUUUAAACACAUUUUGUCUCAGUCAGUAGUUUUUGGUUUACAAAGUAGGCUAUACAAUGCAUGUGUUACAACAGGAGACUUAAAAAAAACAAAAACAAAAA